rnacentral:rRNA from 1 species
ACGGCGAGUGAAGCGGGAAGAGCUCAAAUUUGAAAUCUGGCAGUCUUCGAUUGUCCGAGUUGUAAUCUAUAGAGGCGUUUUCCGUGCCGGACCGUGUCCAAGUCUCCUGGAAAGGAGUAUCAAAGAGGGUGAUAAUCCCGUACUUAACACGACCACCGGUGCUCUGUGAUACGUCUUCUACGAGUCGAGUUGUUUGGGAAUGCAGCUCAAAAUGGGUGGUGAAUUCCAUCUAAAGCUAAAUAUUGGCGAGAGACCGAUAGCGAACAAGUACCGUGAGGGAAAGAUGAAAAGCACUUUGGAAAGAGAGUUAAACAGUACGUGAAAUUGUUGAAAGGGAAACGAUUGAAGUCAGUCGUGUUCUUUGGAUUCAGCCAGUUCUGCUGGUCUACUUCCUUUGAACGGGUCAACAUCAGUUUUGUCCGGUGGAUAAAGGUAGUAGGAAUGUGACUUCCCCGGAAGUGUUAUAGCCUAUUAUCACAUACACUGGGUGAGACUGAGGACUGCAGCUCGCCUUUAUGGCCGACCUUCGGGUACGUUCGAGCU